UACGUAGGGGGCAAGCGUUGUCCGGAAUCAUUGGGCGUAAAGCGCGUGUAGGCGGUCCGGUAAGUCCGCUGUGAAAGUCGGGGGCUCAACCCUCGGAUGCCGGUGGAUACUGUCGGGCUUGAGUACGGAAGAGGCGAGUGGAAUUCCUGGUGUAGCGGUGAAAUGCGCAGAUAUCAGGAGGAACACCAAUGGCGAAGGCAGCUCUCUGGGACGGUACUGACGCUGAGACGCGAAAGCGUGGGGAGCGAACAGG
rnacentral:rRNA from 1 species